UUUAUUUUGCACGGGCAUACCGUAAACUAAAUGAUGAUCGUCUGUUGGCAAUUGGCUAGAAAGAGACUUCUCAGGUAUUUCCACUUCUCUAGUUCUUGCUUAUUUUUCUUCAUCUGGCACUGGCAUAUCUGAGUUAUGACCCAAACUUUACUGACAACAUGGAGGAGGAUAUUGAUGAUGAAGGUCAUGAAGAGGAGGAGGAUGAGUAUGUGGCUAUGUGGUUCACUUAAUUGCCUGUAUGGUAUUCAUAUUUGCACAAUAUUUUUCUUGUUUAUAAUGUCAUAUAUGCAAUAUUAUUUUCCAGCGAGAGUGCAAAUGAAUAUACAGUCAUACAGAUGAUGAAGAUGCCAGCUGGAAAGUUAUGUAACCUAUGUCAUUAUGUAACUGUCAUACCCUAAUUUUGUCCUACCUAUUCCAUAAAUUAUUUUUCAUCUCAUUCUCAUA
rnacentral:lncRNA from 1 species